ensembl:snoRNA small nucleolar RNA SNORA2/SNORA34 family
AUGGCCCUGAAUCAAGGCCAGCAGCUUCCUGAUACUGUUGCUUUCAAGCAUGAACCUAAAGAGAUGCCUUUCUAUGGUCUGUUGGCCAUUUCAGAACUUGGACAAUGAAAUGGUCAAUUCAUUAGAAAGAAACAGCU